UACGUAGGUGGCAAGCGUUAUCCGGAAUUAUUGGGCGUAAAGCGCGCGCAGGCGGUUUCUUAAGUCUGAUGUGAAAGCCCACGGCUCAACCGUGGAGGGUCAUUGGAAACUGGGAGACUUGAGUGCAGAAGAGGAAAGUGGAAUUCCAUGUGUAGCGGUGAAAUGCGUAGAGAUAUGAAGGAACACCAGUGGCGAAGGCGACUUUCUGGUCUGUAACUGACACUGAGGCGCGAAAGCGUGGGGAGCAAACAGG
rnacentral:rRNA from 1 species